UUGACCUUGAGUCAGCGAAGGCUUCAAUUGAUGGGCCUGCCAAGCACGGACAUCUUGGAUCCUGGGCCUUUUCAUGUUGUUGGCCCAUGCAGAACUUCCCUUAAUAGGUUGUAUGAAAGUGGAAGGUAAAUGGAUAAAGAAAAAUGCAAUAUCAAGAGCUUUGGGUAAGACAAAGGACAUUGAUAAUUAGGGUGGACCCUC
rnacentral:lncRNA from 1 species